CCUACGGGAGGCUGCAGUGGGGAAUCUUGGACAAUGGACGAAAGUCUGAUCCAGCGACGCCGCGUGGGUGAUGAAGGCCUUCGGGUCGUAAAGCCCUGUGGGCAGGAAAGAAAAUGGUCACGGCGAACAGGCGUGGCCCUUGACGGUACCUGCUCAGAAAGCACCGGCUAACUCUGUGCCAGCAGCCGCGGUAAGACAGAGGGUGCGAACGUUGCUCGGAAUUACUGGGCGUAAAGCGCGUGUAGGCUGACUCGUGUGUCGGGUGUGAAAUCCCUGGGCUCAACCCAGGAACUGCAUUCGAAACUGCGAGUCUAGAGUGGUGGAGAGGGUAGUGGAAUUCCUGGUGUAGAGGUGAAAUUCGUAGAUAUCAGGAGGAACACCGGUGGCGAAGGCGGCUACCUGGACACCAACUGACGCUGAGACGCGAAAGCCAGGGUAGC
rnacentral:rRNA from 1 species